GACGAACGCUGGCGGCGUGCUUAACACAUGCAAGUCGUACGGUAAGGCCCUUUCGGGGGUCCACGAGUGGCGAACGGGUGAGUAACACGUGAGUAACCUGCCCACAACUUUGGGAUAACGCUAGGAAACUGGUGCUAAUACUGGAUAUGUGCUCCUGCUGCAUGGUGGGGGUUGGUAAGCUCCCGCGGUUGUGGAUGGACUCGGGGCCUAUCAGCUUGUUGGUGGGGUAGUGGCCUACCAAGGCGGCGACGGGUAGCCGGCCUGAGAGGGUGACCGGCCACAUUGGCACCGAGAGACGGCCCAGACUGCUACGGGAGGCAGCAGUGGGGAAUAUUGCACAAGGGGCGCAAGCCGGAUGCAGAAGCGCCGCGGGCGGGAUGACGGCCUUAGGGUUGAAAACCGCUUUCAGCAGGGACGAAGCUUUUUGUGACGGUACCUGCAGAAGAAGCACCGGCUAACUACGUG
rnacentral:rRNA from 1 species